UUGGAGGGCAAGUCUGGUGCCAGCAGCCGCGGUAAUUCCAGCUCCAAUGGCGUAUAUUAAAGUUGUUGCAGUUAAAAAGCUCGUAGUUGAAUUUCGAGACCGGCUUACUGGUCGUGCUUUUGUGCGUACUGGUAUAAUCGGUUUCUCCUUUCCGACGAACUUUAAUGCCAUUAAUUUGGUGUUUUAGGGAAUCAGGACUUUUACUUUGAAAAAAUUAGAGUGUUUAAAGCAGGC
rnacentral:rRNA from 1 species